AACGGUAACAGGGGAGAGCUUGCUCUCCUGCUGACGAGUGGCGGACGGGUGAGUAAUGCAUAGGAAUCUGCCCAGUAGCGGGGGACAACUUGGGGAAACUCAAGCUAAUACCGCAUACGCCCUACGGGGGAAAGCGGGGGACCUUCGGGCCUCGCACUAUUGGAUGAGCCUACGUCUGAUUAGCUAGUUGGUAGGGUAACGGCCUACCAAGGCGACGAUCAGUAGCUGGUCUGAGAGGAUGAUCAGCCACACUGGGACUGAGACACGGCCCAGACUCCUACGGGAGGCAGCAGUAGGGAAUAUUGGACAAUGGGCGCAAGCCUGAUCCAGCAAUGCCGCGUGUGUGAAGAAGGCCUGCGGGUUGUAAAGCACUUUCAGUUGGGAAGAAAACGUGCAGGUUAAUACCCUGCAUGCCUGACGUAACCAACAGAAGAAGCACCGGCUAACUCCGUGCCAGCAGCCGCGGUAAUACGGAGGGUGCGAGCGUUAAUCGGAAUUACUGGGCGUAAAGCGCGCGUAGGCGGCUUGGUAAGUCGGAUGUGAAAGCCCCGGGCUUAACCUGGGAACUGCAUUCGAAACUGCCUGGCUAGAGUAUGAUAGAGGGUAGUGG
rnacentral:rRNA from 1 species